rnacentral:rRNA from 1 species
UACAGAGGGGGCAAGCGUUGUUCGGAAUUACUGGGCGUAAAGGGCGCGUAGGCGGCCUUCUAAGUCAGACGUGAAAUCCCUCGGCUCAACCGGGGAACUGCGUCUGAGACUGGAAGGCUUGAAUCCGGGAGAGGGAUGUGGAAUUCCAGGUGUAGCGGUGAAAUUCGUAGAUAUCGGGAGGGACACCAGUGGCGAAGGCGGCGAUCUGGGAAGAUACUGACGCUGAGAGGCGAAAGUGUGGGGAGCAAACAGG